AUGCCGACGAAUCAAAGCCUUCGUGAACCACCGCGCUCAACCCUUCAUCGAUCACUAUCCAACGAUGCGAGGCCGAUCCUCCCUCUUCCAAUCAUUUUCAGCCGUUAUUUCAUACUCCUUUUCGUCCGAUCACAAUCCUCUGAUCUUCUCCAAACUCCUCUUUAUUUCCUUCGCAUUGCUUGGUGCAGGACAUUAGCUUGGAACGCACAUAACUUGUGA